UUGGAGGGCAAGUCUGGUGCCAGCAGCCGCGGUAAUUCCAGCUCCAAUAGCGUAUAUUAAAGUUGUUGCAGUUAAAAAGCUCGUAGUUGAAUUUCGGGAUCGACGGGUCGGUCGCGCCUCUGGUGUGUACUGGCCCUGUCGGUUUCUCCCUUCUGACGAACCACGAUGUCAUUAAUUUGGUGUCGUGGGAAAUCAGGACUGUUACUUUGAAAAAUUAGAGUGUUUAAAGCAGGCAUUCGCUUGAAUACAUUAGCAUGGAAUAAUGAAAUAGGACGUUUGAUCUUAUUUUGUUGGUUUCUAAGAUCGACGUAAUGAUUAAUAGGGAUAGUUGGGGGCAUUAGUAUUCAAUUGUCAGAGGUGAAAUUCUUGGAUUUAUUGAAGACUAACUACUGCGAAAGCAUUUGCCAAGGAUGUUUUCAUUAAUCAAGAACGAAAGUUAGGGGAUCGAAGACGAUCAGAUACCGUCGUAGUCUUAACCAUAAACUAUGCCGACUAGGGAUCGGAUGAUGUUAAUUUUUAAUGACUCAUUCGGCGCCUUAC
rnacentral:rRNA from 1 species